GGUUUAUUUACACAAUGCUUCAGGCAUAAUAAAAAAUAAGUUACAGUACAAAAGUGCUCUUAGGAAGAAGACACUGAACAAGGCUGUGAUACCCGAUGAGUAUUCAGACAAGACACAAGGUGAAAGUUUGCUGGAGAAGUUUUUAACUACUUCCUUACACGUAUGAAACAUACACGAGCCAUCAUUUAAAGAAACAUCCAGUUGUUAUAUUCACAAUGGUCAAUUAUGAAGAACAGAAGAAAAUACAGAUCUAACUUGUAGUUCAAAACUAGGUAUCAAAAAGAUGUGGUGGCACAUACCUUAAAUCCCAGCACUAGGGAGGCAGAGGCAGUGGGAUCUCUGUGAGUUCAAGGCUAGGCCAGCCUGGUCUACAAAGUGAGUCCCAGAACAGCCAAAACUUUUUAAAGGUAAUAUAAAAAGCAGAAUGAGAGGUAUGGAAUGAAUUUCCAGGGCAAAUUCAUAUGUAAAUUAUGCCAACUUGAUUUAAAGACUGAGUAAAAUGUCAAGGUCCUGUGUCUAGGAAUAUAAUCUAUUGGAAAUUCCAGUUUGUUAAAAAGAAAUAACCUGUGCAGUGCAGUCUAAUGAGGACUAAAACAUCACAUUGUAAAAAUUCACCCCGAACCCAAACUUUCAGGUGUUCUUUCUUCUCCAAAGUUACUCUGGUGUGUGUGUGUGUGUGUGUGUGUGUGUGUGAGUGUGUGUGUGUGUGUGUACAUGCAUGCAGAAUUGAGCCAGCCAGGAGGAUCCAGCACACACACACCAAGUAACUAGAUACAAAGGAGAAAUCAUCCCUCUUUUUCCAUAGCCCACUUGAAAAAUAAAGGGAAAAAUAAAAGUAGUUCAUUACAUUUAAGUAGUUUUGGUAUUUCUUUGGUUCCUGCCAAAUUAUCUUUAAAACAAGGUAACUAGUUGGGGCGGGGGGGGGGGGGGGGGGGGUGCACGCCUUUAAUCCCAGCACUCAGGAGGCUGAGGCUGGCCCUGUGAAUUUGAGGCCAGCCUGAUCCGCAGAGAGUUCCAGGACAGCUGGGACUAUUACAGAGAAACCCUGUCUAAAAAAAAAAAAAAAAAAAAAAAAAAAAAAAAGAGAGAGAGAGAUAAAAUAAGGUGAAUUAAAACCAAAAGAACUUUAACUCACCGUCUUUGUAAGACUGAACAAAAAGGUUAUUUGCUUUGGGUUGGCCUUUCUUACAAGUCUAAAUCUUUUUUAAAGUUGUAAUACAAUUAAUUAUAUCACAAAGCCUUCUAAUAAACUGCCUAAGGACUCCAGUCUUGGAAUGAGCAUGGGCUCUGCUGUGGGAGGGAGAACACAGUAAGUAAGCUCUGUAUUCAGUACGGACCUGUCGUGAGGCUGGAUGUGGUGGUGCACCUUCAAUCCCAGCCCUUGAGAGCUGAGGCAGGAGGGCUCUGACUUUAAGGCCAGCUCUACAUAGCUAGUUCUAGACCAACCAGUGAUACAUAGCGAGAACUUGUCGAAAAAUAAAACAUAAAAAUGGCGGUGAGCAAUUGUUCCUGGUAGCAUGUGCUGGUAUGUAUACUGGUGUUCCCGUGACCUUUGUAGUUACUAUGCUUAGACUUACACUGUCACUAUAAACCUUGUAUUAAUUGUCAUUAAACCUAGGAUACUGAACAAAUUCAGUUAAAUAAGAUGUGUCUAAUACUUAAAGACAGUCAUGAAAAUCAGACUUCUGGUGUGAAUUUGGGAUCCGCUAUUAAUCAAAAAUGGCUGGGAGGUUUAGCUCACCUUUUUAUGAUUUAUUUUCAUAUGGGGGUUUUGCCUUCAUGUAUGUACAUGUACCACAUGUAUGCAGUGCCUGUAGACACUAGAAGAAGGUGUCACAUCCCCUAGAACUGGAGUUACUGAUGGCUGUGAGCCAUGUGAAUUCUGGAAACUGAACUGGGAUCUUCUGUAAGAGAAACAAGUGCUGCUAAAGGUUGAGACAUCUCUCCAGACCCUCUAGCAUCCCCCUGGGCUGCUCUAAAGAAACCAAAAUUGAGAAGAAGUGUCCCGGCAGGCAGGCUAGCUGGCAUUUCUGCCCUUUGAUUCCAAUGCACACAGGAGCACAGUAGUCACACCCCAUAAGGCACGUGGAAGGACAAAAAUGUAACUUCCAGUUUGCAAAAGCUAAUACACAUUUGCACUCUGGAAUUAGGUAAAAUCCCCAUAUUGAAGGUAUACACGAGUCUAGUGGUGUCUGCUCAGGAAGAGCCCUAAGCUGCUCGGCAGGGGCGUUGCUCAUCUAGGCAGGUUUGUGCAGCAGAACUUGCGGGAUGACAGGUCAUCACUGGAAAAGUUUCCAUUGACUUCAAGGGCUACUAAUGUUGUCCUUGAAAAUCCUCGGCUUCCU
rnacentral:lncRNA from 1 species